UGAAGAGAGCUUGCUCUUUGGAUUAGUGGCGAACGGGUGAGUAACACGUGAGUAACCUGCCCUUGACUCUGGGAUAAGCACUGGAAACGGUGUCUAAUACCGGAUAUAUCAGCUGGCCGCAUGGUCUGGUUGUGGAAAGAAUUUUGGUCAAGGAUGGACUCGCGGCCUAUCAGGUAGUUGGUGAGGUAAUGGCUCACCAAGCCUACGACGGGUAGCCGGCCUGAGAGGGUGACCGGCCACACUGGGACUGAGACACGGCCCAGACUCCUACGGGAGGCAGCAGUGGGGAAUAUUGCACAAUGGGCGAAAGCCUGAUGCAGCAACGCCGCGUGAGGGAUGACGGCCUUCGGGUUGUAAACCUCUUUUAGUAGGGAAGAAGCGAAAGUGACGGUACCUGCAGAAAAAGCACCGGCUAACUACGUGCCAGCAGCCGCGGUAAUACGUAGGGUGCAAGCGUUGUCCGGAAUUAUUGGGCGUAAAGAGCUCGUAGGCGGUUUGUCGCGUCUGCUGUGAAAACUGGAGGCUCAACCUCCAGCCUGCAGUGGGUACGGGCAGACUAGAGUGCGGUAGGGGAGAUUGAAAUUCCUGGUGUAGCGGU
rnacentral:rRNA from 1 species